GCAGCAGGCGCGCAAAUUACCCAAUCCUCGAUCGGGGAGGUAGUGACGAAAAAUAACAAUGCCGCAGUCGAAUAGACUCGGCAAUUGGAAUGAGUACAAUCUAAAUCCUUUAACGAGGAACAAUUGGAGGGCAAGUUCUGGUGCCAGCAGCCGCGGUAAUUCCAGCUCGAAUAGCGUAUAUUAAAGUUGUUGCAGUUAAAAAGCUCGUAGUUGGAUAUCAGGAGAUGAUUCACGGACUUCUCAAUGGAGCAACCGUGUUUUCGCUCCUCUUUGUACCGUUUCAUCGUCGAUGCACUUUAUUGUGUGUCACGUUUGAACGGCCUUUUUACUUUGAGAAAAUUAGCGUGCUUAACGCAGGCGUGAAAGCUUGUAUACUGUUGCAUGGAAUAAUGAAAUAGGACCUCGGUUCUGUUUUGUUGGUUUCCGGAAGCUGAGGUAAUGAUUAAUAGGGACAGACGGGGGCAUUCGUAUUGUGGUGUUAGAGGUGAAAUUCUUGGAUCACCGCAAGACGAACAACUGCGAAAGCAUUUGCCAAGAAUGUUUUCAUUAAUCAAGAACGAAAGUUAGAGGUUCGAAGACGAUUAGAUACCGUCCUAGUUCUAACUAUAAACUAUGCCAACUGGGGAUCCGUCGAUUGCCAUUUGUAGGCUCGGCGGGCACCCUACGGGAAACCAAAGUGAACAGGUUCCGGGGGGAGUAUGGUUGCAAAAUCGAAACUUAAAGGAAUUGACGGAGGGGCACACCAGAAGUGGAGCCUGCGGCUCAAUUUGACUCAACGCACGAAAACUUACCCGGCCCGAACACCGUGAGGAUUGACAGAUUGACAGCUCUUUCUUGAUUCGGUGGGUG
rnacentral:rRNA from 1 species